rnacentral:rRNA from 1 species
AGGGCAUGCGGGGGAUGCCUAAGCACCAGGGGCCGAAGAAGGACGCGGCAAGCGGCGAAACGCUCCGGGGAGCCGCAAGCAGGCAUUGAUCCGGAGGUAUCCGAAUGGGGGAACCCGCUGAGGCAAUACCUCAGCAUCAUAUGCUGAACACAUAGGCAUAUGAGGGGAACCGGGGGAACUGAAACAUCUAAGUACCCCGAGGAGAAGAAAGAAAAAGGGGCCCCCAGCGAAGGAGACUUCGCUGGGGUGUCAUAUCGAUUCUCUGAGUAGCGGCGAGCGAAAGGGGAAGAGCCCAAACCAGGCCGAAAGGUCUGGGGUUGAGGACCGACGUAAAGGUCAGGUAGUAAGAAGCCGAACGGGCAUGGAAAGGCCGACCGAAGAGAGUGAGAGUCUCGUAGGCGCAAUGAGGCCUGGCGAGUCGGGAUCCAGAGUACCACAGGGCAAGAGAGGCCGGUGGGAAGCAGGGAGGACCACCUCCCAAGGCUAAAUACUCCCUGGUGACUGAUAGAGCAGAGUACCGUGAGGGAAAGGUGAAAAGAACCCCGGGAGGGGAGUGAAAGAGAACCUGAAACCGCAUGCUUACAAGCAGCAGGAGCUAAACCACCCAACGCGAGUAUCUCGCGUUGGGGACCCGGAUAGUGACUGCGUACUUUUUGUAGAACGGACCGGCGAGAGACGCAUUGUUGCGAGGUUAAGGAGUGAAGCUCCGGAGCCGAAGGGAAACCGAGUCUUAAGAGGGCGGAAGUAACAAUGCGUAGACCCGAAACCGUGCGAGCUACCCAUGGCCAGGGUGAAGCGGGAGUAAGACCCCGUGGAGGCCCGAACCACGUUGCCAAUGAAAAGGCAUGGGAUGAGCUGUGGGUAGGGGAGAAAUUCCAAGCGAGCACGGAGAUAGCUGGUUCUCCCCGAAAUAGCUUUAGGGCUAGCCUCAACCGGUAAGUUAUGGAGGUAGAGCACUGAAUGGGCUAGGGGCGUAAAAGCUACCGAACCCUAUCAAACUGCGAAUGCCAUAACGGUAAGGUUGGGAGUGAGACUACGGGUGCUAAGAUCCGUGGUCGAGAGGGAAAGAGCCCAGACCACCAGCUAAGGUCCCGAAGAGAUAGCUAAGUGUAAAAGGAGGUAGUGUUACGAAGACAACCAGGAUGUUGGCUUAGAAGCAGCCAUACAUUUAAAGAGUGCGUAAUAGCUCACUGGUCGAGUGACACUGCGCCGAAAAUGAACCGGGGCUAAAGCUAUCCACCGAAGCUGUGGAAGGAGGACUUGGUAGGGGAGCGUACUUAACGGGUAGAAGCCGAGCUGAAAGGCGAGGUGGACUGUUAAGUAGAGAGAAUGCCGGUAUGAGUAGCGAGAGUAAGGAGAGAAACCUUACCGUCGGAAGCCUAAGGUAUCCUGGGGAAGGCUAAACCGCCCAGGGGAAGUCGGGACCUAAGCCGAGGCGAAAGCGUAGGCGAUGGGCAAUCGGUGAAGAGUCCGAUACCACCGAGUCUGGGAAUGAAGCGGGGACGCGGCGACGGAAUCUGAGCGCGCGGUUGGUAGAGCGCGUCCAAGUGGAGGCGUAGCGAAGGGAGUGAAGUACCCCUGAGCGAAGCGCUGAAGCGAAGGGGAGCCGCAAGGCGAAGCAGAGGAAGGAGCCGCCGAGAAAAGCCGCUAAAUAGGACGAGGUGCCCGUACCGGAAACCGACACAGGUAGGCGAGGAGAGAAUCCACAGACGAGCGGGAGAACCCUUGUUAAGGAACUCGGCAAAAAGACUCCGUAACUUAGGGAGAAGGAGUGCCGAAAGGCCGCAGAGAAGAGUCCCAAGCGACUGUUUACCAAAAACACAGGUAUCUGCGAAGUCGGAAGACGAAGUAUAGGUGCUGACGCCUGCCCGGUGCUGGAAGGUUAAGGGGAGGGGUGAGAGCCCCGAACUUAAGCCCCAGUAAACGGCGGCCGUAACUAUAACGGUCCUAAGGUAGCGAAAUUCCUUGUCGGGUAAGUUCCGACCUGCACGAAAGGCGUAACGACUUGGGAGCUGUCUCAACAAGGGGCCCGGUGAAAUUGUAGUAUGAGUGAAGAUGCUCAUUACCCGCGACAGGACAGAAAGACCCCGUGGAGCUUUACUGCAGGCUGUCACUGGACUUCGAUAUAUACUGUACAGGAUAGGUGGGAGACGGAGAGAGUAGUGCGCCAGCAUUACUGGAGUCGGCGGUGGGAUACCACUCUGUAUAUAUUGAGGUUCUAACCUUAAGCCGUAGAGCCGGUUAAGGGACACUGACAGUUGGGCAGUUUGACUGGGGCGGUCGCCUCCUAAAAGGUAACGGAGGCGUCCAAAGGUUACCUCAGCGCGGAUAGGAAUCGCGCGUGGAGUGCAAAGGCAUAAGGUAGCUUAACUGCGAGUCAGACAAGACGAGCAGGUACGAAAGUAGGGCUUAGUGAUCCGGUGGUGUAGAGUGGGAUAGCCAUCGCGCAACGGAUAAAAGCUACCCCGGGGAUAACAGGCUGAUCUCCCCCGAGAGUCCACAUCGACGGGGAGGUUUGGCACCUCGAUGUCGGCUCAUCGCAUCCUGGGGCUGAAGUAGGUUCCAAGGGUUGGGCUGUUCGCCCAUUAAAGCGGUACGCGAGCUGGGUUCAGAACGUCGUGAGACAGUUCGGUCCCUAUCCGUCGCGGGCGUAGGAAAUUUGAGAGGAGCCUUUCCUAGUACGAGAGGACCGGAAAGGACGGACCGAUGGUGCACCAGUUGCGGUGCCAACCGCACAGCUGGGAAGCCAAGUCCGGGAGUGAUAAACGCUGAAAGCAUCUAAGCGUGAAGCACGCCUCAAGAUAAGAUUUCCCAUACCGGAAAGGUAGU